rfam:Ricinus communis cultivar Hale ctg_1100012361218, whole genome shotgun sequence.
AAGUUGUGAUGUGGGCAUUGAAUCAGGUAUACUUUGAAUCUUUUCCAAGCAUCAUAGAAAGACUUUCCUUCCUUCUGAGUGAUAUUACAAAUUCUAGACCUAUAAUCU